rnacentral:rRNA from 1 species
UACGGAGGGUGCAAGCGUUAUCCGGAUUCACUGGGUUUAAAGGGUGCGUAGGCGGGUAAGUAAGUCAGUGGUGAAAUCUCCGGGCUUAACUCGGAAACUGCCGUUGAUACUAUUUAUCUUGAAUAUCAUGGAGGUAAGCGGAAUAUGUCAUGUAGCAGUGAAAUGCUUAGAUAUGACAUAGAACACCGAUAGCGAAGGCAGCUUACUACAUGUUAAUUGACGCUGAGGCACGAAAGCGUGGGGAGCAAACAGG